AGGCUUAUCUCCCCCAAGAGUCCACAUCGACGGGGAGGUUUGGCACCUCGAUGUCGGCUCAUCACAUCCUGGGGCUGUAGUAGGUCCCAAGGGUUGGGCUGUUCGCCCAUUAAAGUGGUACGCGAGCUGGGUUCAGAACGUCGUGAGACAGUUCGGUCCCUAUCCGUCGCAGGCGUAGGAAAUUUGAGAAGACCUGUCCUUAGUACGAGAGGACCGGGAUGGACGUACCUCUGGUGUACCAGUUGUUCUGCCAAGGGCAUGGCUGGGUAGCUAUGUACGGAAUGGAUAAGCGCUGAAAGCAUCUAAGCGCGAAGCCAACUUCAAGAUAAGAUUUCCCACCGCAAGGGUAAGACCCCAGAAAGACUAUCUGGUUGAUAGGUCGAAGGUGUAAGUGCAGCAAUGUAUUUAGCUUAUCGAUACUAAUAGGUCGAGGACUUGACCAAU
rnacentral:rRNA from 1 species